GACCAACAAGAAUAUCACUGAUAAGCCCACCUCAGAAUGGGCAUAUGGGUACCGUUGCAUGUAGAAGUUCUCAGUCAUCUGGAAUGAUGCCAUGUCAAAGUUGGACAUCAGGGUCUGUAAGGUCAUCACCUUUAAGAAUGCCAAAUAAUGAGAUCUCUUAUAUGUCACCAUUUAUAUCAUCACAAAAUGUUAGAAAUUGCACACAAGAUGCUUUUGGACAAAGAAGCAGUUGUCAUUAUCAGCCACAGCCUUCACAUACAUCAGGAAUAAGAUAUCCAAUCAACCUAGCCAGUCUUUUACAAAGGCAACAUUUAGGAUCAACUAGUCGUCCGGGAUAUUAACUACAGAAAUAAAUCAAUUUGCACAUGGUAUUCCCCA
rnacentral:lncRNA from 1 species